CACACCCCGGCAAUCCUUCCCCAUUUCUCACCUUCCUCUCUCCUCCCCCGUCCUUCCCGUCCCUUAAAGCCCAGAACUCCGCACCCUCAGGUUGCCCCAGGACCUCAUCCUGCUUUCUUUCUCCUCUCCAAACUGUGGCUUCGGUGUCCGCAAGCUGUCCUGGGCCAGCAGAAAACACAAGCAAAGCCCACUUUUGUCUCUUGACCUCUGACUCUGAGUGCUGUGAGAACGGAGAUAAUGUGCCUGUCUGUUCACUAUGGAAUUCCUGGUGCCUCCCACAGGGCCUGGCGCUGACAGAGAGCCCAGGACUCCUUUCCCUCCCUGACCUGCCCCGCAGCCUGAGGUGCACCUUUAACGGAGUUCUGUGUAAAAAUGCAAGGCACCUGGUAUGCAGCCCAAGACACUUGGAAAAUGGACUUGCCUAAAACACUCAGUUUUGCUGGUGCUAAGGUUUCCUGACUCCCUAUGAAGGAUUAUCCAGGUUUUGUUUGUUUUUACUGUGUCAGGACUUAAAAUUGUUCUGUAUUUGCUAUGCCAAACAAAUGACCACUCUUAGUAUGCUAUCUCUCCUACCUUCUCAACUAAACGCUAUAACUUUAG